rnacentral:tRNA from 1 species
UAUGGCAGAUUAGUGCAAUGGAUUUAAAAUCCUCUUAUAAAGAUUAAUUCUUUUAUUAAAA